CCUCCACCCCAGCCACCGCCGUCCACUCACCAGUCAUCACUCACGCUGUCACGCAGGCCGCAGCCACCACUCGCCUGACCACCGGUGAAGGCCACCGGCGACAAAAGAGGUUGAAGAGGUCAAAACAUGGUUUGAGUAGAGACUGAUAGCUAAAA